rnacentral:misc_RNA from 1 species
UUUUGCUGUCUUGAGAGUUGAUUGUGUUGUGGGUAUUCUGUAAUUUUGAUCCUCUUGUUGUUAUGUUGUCAGCAUAAAUGAGGAUGCUUUAUUUUGUAGGUUUUCAGUGAGGGGCUCUCUUAUGUUUGCUGGCUUUAGUUAGCAUGGAGGUUGUAUGAGGGUGGGGUUUGUUGACCAUGCUCGUCUUUUCUAUUCCCUUUUUUCUUUGAUAAAUUUUAUUUUUUGUCUAAAAAAAAGUGUCUUUUAAAUUUAUUACUCCUCCACGUAUUCUUUCUUCGGAGGCAAAGGUUUUAGCACUAAUUGAUGCUCAUACUCGGAAUUGGAAUUGGGACCUUGCAUUGCGAGUUCUCCUCCCUGUGGAUGUUGAUCGGCUCAAACUUAUUCAACUCGGGGCGGUUGGUCGUCCAGAUUGCUUAAUUUGGCAUUUUGAUGCUACAGGGGAAUAUAAAGUGAAACUGGCUUCUACAAAUUCCGUUGCUUCAUCCUCUAGCUUAUCCACUUCAUUUUGGAAAGCUGUUUGGAAAAUUGUUGUUCCGCCCGAAGUUCUCAACUUUAUUUGGCAUGCCGCGUUGGACAUAUUACCCACCAGAAGUGUGUUGAGCAGACGCAUCCCUUCAUUGUGCACUACCUGUCUUAUGUAGUGCAUAUACUGAAACUUCUUUUCACCUGUGCCGGGAUUGUCCCUUGGCUCAACAGGUUUGCCAAUUUUGAAAUUGUUUGUAACUAAAUUAAUUAAUGGGUUUAAAAUAUUAAAUUUG